UAGGUGGAAGCCCGCUGGUUUAGGCAUCUAGCUGUUAAUUAGAAUUUUACGGGAUCAAGGCCCGUCUACCUAG
rnacentral:tRNA from 1 species